CAGACGACACAAGUUUUGAAAAGAAAUAGUACACAAAGGACAACACGAACAUUUCCUGUGACAAGUUGAAUAUAAUAGUGCAACAUAUGUGGGCUAUAGUUUUCUCCUUUGCGAAAAAGGCUUCGUGGAGGAGGUACUGCGGUAUUGCCACUACCAUGACAACAAGUAAACUUUAAACAACAUGAACAUACAAAUAUAAAUGAAAUAUAAAAGGAAUCCUUGAGUGACGGCUGCUUAAUCAGCGGGAUAACAUGUUGUCUCUCUAAUAACAACUGUCAAACGUCUUGCCGCUUAUAUUUGACAUUCACCGAAAUCAAUGGCAGAUUAUGAUG